rnacentral:rRNA from 1 species
GACGAACGCUGGCGGCGUGCUUAACACAUGCAAGUCGAGCGGUAAGGCCCUUUCGGGGGUACACGAGCGGCGAACGGGUGAGUAACACGUGGGUGACCUGCCCUCAGCUCUGGGAUAAGCCUGGGAAACCGGGUCUAAUACUGGAUAUGACUCCAUGACGCAUGUUGUGGGGUGGAAAGCCUUGUGCGGCUGAGGAUGGGCCCGCGGCCUAUCAGCUUGUUGGUGGGGUGAUGGCCUACCAAGGCGACGACGGGUAGCCGGCCUGAGAGGGCCGACCGGCCACACUGGGACUGAGACACGGCCCAGACUCCUACGGGAGGCAGCAGUGGGGAAUCUUGCGCAAUGGGCGAAAAGCCUGACGCAGCGACGCCGCGUGAGGGAUGACGGCC